AAGUUAUCCUGCAGUCGAGAUUCCUACGGGAGGCAGCAGUGGGGAAUCUUAGACAAUGGGCGCAAGCCUGAUCUAGCCAUGCCGCGUGAGUGAUGAAGGCCUUAGGGUCGUAAAGCUCUUUCGCCUGUGAUGAUAAUGACAGUAGCAGGUAAAGAAACCCCGGCUAACUCCGUGCCAGCAGCCGCGGUAAUACGGAGGGGGUUAGCGUUGUUCGGAAUUACUGGGCGUAAAGCGCACGUAGGCGGAUUGGAAAGUUGGGGGUGAAAUCCCGGGGCUCAACCCCGGAACUGCCUCCAAAACUAUCAGUCUAGAGUUCGAGAGAGGUGAGUGGAAUUCCAAGUGUAGAGGUGAAAUUCGUAGAUAUUUGGAGGAACACCAGUGGCGAAGGCGGCUCACUGGCUCGAUACUGACGCUGAGGUGCGAAAGUGUGGGGAGCAAACAGGAUUAGAUACCCUGGUAGUCCACACCGUAAACGAUGAAUGCCAGUCGUCGGGCAGUAUACUGUUCGGUGACACACCUAACGGAUUAAGCAUUCCGCCUGGGGAGUACGGUCGCAAGAUUAAAACUCAAAGGAAUUGACGG
rnacentral:rRNA from 1 species